rnacentral:misc_RNA from 1 species
ACUGAGCUACAAUUUCCGCCAUUUUCUCUACCUUCAUAAUUGCAAUAUUGUUCCUGAGUUUGGGCAGCCAACAAACUGGUGUUGACAAACUCAGAAUCCUGAUGAAGCCUCCUAACAGGUGAAGUUGUUGACGAAUUAGUAUUUGAUCCUUGUUUCGUCUUCUUCUGCUGCUGCUGAUGCCCUAUAACCUUCAUCCUCAGCUUACUUGGAG